CCCUUUCAUACUCUCCUUUACGCAGGAGGGUGUGGCCUGUUGCCAAUCAGAGACUGCAACCUGGCGCACUGAACAAACGCCAUUCUGAUUCCGAAUACUGAUAGGGUAGAUCAUUCUACAAAGCCUGGAUGUUGGGCCAUAAAGAGUUAAUAUUGUGAAGUCUCAGUAUAGAUAAGGUAGAAAGGGGUAGCACAGACUUUUACUA